GGCUGGGUGGCAGAGUGGUUAUGCAGCGGAUUGCAAAUCCGUCUACGCCGGUUCGAUUCCGACCCUAGCCUCCA
rnacentral:tRNA from 1 species